GUACAUUCUCAGGGCGGGGUGAGACUCCCCACCGGCGGUAAUCAUCCUAUGGGAUGUCAGCCCGCGAGCGCCUAUUUGCAUCUAGGUAUUAGUGUGCAGCUAGGGUCAGCAGAUCUGGUGAAGUGUGCAACAAGCCAUCUAUUCCAGAGCCGACGGUAAUGAGCACCGAGUGCACUAAGUCCGGAUGAAAGAGAAUAUAA
rnacentral:ncRNA from 2 species